rnacentral:rRNA from 1 species
GGCGGCGUGCUUAACACAUGCAAGUCGAGCGGUAAGGCCCUUCGGGGUACACGAGCGGCGAACGGGUGAGUAACACGUGGGUGAUCUGCCUCGCACUCUGGGAUAAGCCUGGGAAACUGGGUCUAAUACCGGAUACGACCAGGAACUGCAUGGUUCUUGGUGGAAAGGUUUACUGGUGCGAGAUGGGCCCGCGGCCUAUCAGCUUGUUGGUGGGGUAACGGCCUACCAAGGCGACGACGGGUAGCCGACCUGAGAGGGUGACCGGCCACACUGGGACUGAGACACGGCCCAGACUCCUACGGGAGGCAGCAGUGGGGAAUAUUGCACAAUGGGCGAAAGCCUGAUGCAGCGACGCCGCGUGAGGGAUGACGGCCUUCGGGUUGUAAACCUCUUUCGACAGGGAACGAAGCGCAAGUGACGGUACCUGUAGAAGAAGCACCGGCCAACUACGUGCCAGCAGCC